GAUGAACGCUGGCGGCGUGCCUAAUACAUGCAAGUCGAGCGAAUGGAUUAAGAGCUUGCUCUUAUGAAGUUAGCGGCGGACGGGUGAGUAACACGUGGGUAACCUGCCCAUAAGACUGGGAUAACUCCGGGAAACCGGGGCUAAUACCGGAUAACAUUUUGAACCGCAUGGUUCGAAAUUGAAAGGCGGCUUCGGCUGUCACUUAUGGAUGGACCCGCGUCGCAUUAGGUAGUUGGUGAGGUAACGGCUCACCAAGGCAACGAUGCGUAGCCGAUCUGAGAGGGUGAUCGGCCACACUGGGACUGAGACACGGCCCAGACUCCUACGGGAGGCAGCAGUAGGGAAUCUUCCGCAAUGGACGAGAGUCUGACGGAGCAACGCCGCGUGAGUGAUGAAGGCUUUCGGGUCGUAAAACUCUGUUGUUAGGGAAGAACAAGUGCUAGUUGAAUAAGCUGACACCUUGACGGUACCUAACCAGAAAGCCACGGCUAACUACGUGCCAGCCGCCGCAGUAA
rnacentral:rRNA from 1 species